rfam:Candidate division WOR-1 bacterium RIFOXYB2_FTLL_37_13 rifoxyb2_full_scaffold_216, whole genome shotgun sequence.
GCGCCCGUAGCUCAGCUGGAUAGAGCGGCUGCCUUCGAAGCAGCGGGUCGCAGGUUCAACUCCUGUCGGGCGCU